rnacentral:lncRNA from 1 species
UCUGCUGCUCGAGUACCUGGCCUUUGCCCAGUGCUCUGUCACGUAUGACAUGGAGAGCACAGACAAUGGGGCUUCCAACUCAGAGAAAAACAAGCCCCUGGAGCAGUCUGUGGAAGACCUCAGCAAGGGUCCACCCUCCUCUGUGCCCAAAAGCCGCCACCUGACCAUCAAGUAUGUGGGCCACAAGGUGGGGUGGUGGGAGAACAGAGAAUUCAGCCCCCACACUGCUGCAUCUAGCCAGCCCACCCCGGGCCCUUGGGGUUGGCGAGAGGGGUAGCCACGCAUUAGGGGUCCGAGUAAGGGACUCAUACAGAGUUUGGGACACCAGUAUGUUAAGAAGCCAUCAGGGGUGGGGCUGGGUGCUGUGGCUCAUGCCUGUAAUCCCAGCACUUUGGGAGACUGAGGUGGGCAGAUCAUUUGAGGACAUGAGUUUGAGAC